AGUAGCAUCUAUAUCACUCUGCAACUCACAACUGGCAACCCACUGAAGCUAAGCAGGUGUGAGCCUGGUCAGUACCUGGACGGGAGACCUCCUGGGAAAAACUAAGGGUGCUGCUG
rnacentral:rRNA from 1 species